UUGAACCUAAUAUUUUUUCCUGACUGUAAGGAAGUCAAGGUAAAUCAUUCAAUUUUUAAAAAAUAUAUAUAUAUGUAGAAAGGGAGUGAUGGAUGUAGCAAAACAAUUAAGUCCAUUAAAAAAUAGAAAUGCUUAUAAUCAAACUACUACCAGUCUUCAAAUACAGUAACAUAUGAACCAAAUUCAUACAAGUUUGUAGAAAGGAGAACCCUUGUUUGUUUGAAUCAGUUUCAAAUGCAAAUACCACUAUUAAAAUACUGUAGAAUUUCCAAGAAAUUUUCCUCAGUCAAGGCAAACAUUUUUGGUCACACUUUCACACAAAGGAAACUUAGCACAUGUUAAUUCUUAACAAGAGAAUCAUACUAAUAGAAGCACACCUACCCAGCAUAAGAAUUUGUUGAGAUUUAAGCAGAAAAAAAAAAAACUAACAAGAAAAGAAGAAAAUAUCAAGCACUGCAUAAGGCUACCGUGAUCAGUCCUAAACAAUCAUUAUCCUUCUCAUUAGUAUACACUAACACCCUGGAUAUCAUUCAAAGGUAAUGGAUGAAGUUGUAAGCUUUGUUUGCAUUACCUUCUCUGGUCUUUGUAAACCAACUUUCACCCUGAUGUAACAUUAAGAAAAAAAAAAAAAAAAAAAAAAAAAAAAAAAUAAUAUUGCUCUUUUUCAGUCUCCUCUUCCGAUGAGCGAUUGCAUACCAAAGAGGCUUCCAUUAAACGCUUAAAGGAGGGUUUCCAUUCGUCUUUUAAAGGAGGGUUUCCAUUUAUAUUCUGAAGGAGGGUUUCAUCAGAAGAUUUCCAGGUGUUGUAAAAAAAUUUGUCUCUGUAGGAGGGAUUAAGGACGAAAUUUGUAAUGAAAUCUCCCAGUUCCUUAAUUAAUCAGGAUACCCACUCAACCCAUCCCAUCACUAUUUAGAUAUCUAGAUGCAAAGUUCUACUCACAACCAACAUCAGGAAUACUGGGAAGUUCAUAUACAGUGAAUACAUAUUAAAAAGGCAUGUUCACAGUGUGUUUCCAACCACAAAACUCAACCGUUCAGAUCCUUUCACCAUGGGAGAGAGGAAAUGAAAAUCCCUAUCAUAAAAUGACAAAAAAUGGAGUACAAUGUACAAAACAUUGUUAAUAAUAUCAAUCAUUUCAAAUAAAAUGAUAGUCAACAAUGACAAAAGGCUAUCUAUCACACUUAACAUAUCUCUCUCAAGAAAAUGUGUCACUGCAAACCAUCUGCAAUUCUUAGUUCAGAGUAGGUCAGUAUGCAUCACUUCACAAUAAUGAAUUUCUGAAGUAGUACCACUUGAUAUACUUGUACACCAGACGAUCUUUCUAAUAAUAAAAAAAAGGGCAAUGUCGUAAACUAUCUUGCAAAAAACCUGAGAAUCACAUUCACCUUAAAAAUAAAUCAUUAAAAAAAAAAAAGAUACAAUGUGGUAAUUUGAGGAUUGGUGGAAAAAAGAAAAGAAAAGAAAGAAAAAAAAAAAAAGGAAAUAUCAAUAAGGUAUCCCA